GAGCCAGCUUAGCCUAGCGGUUACUUCGGAUAAUCUUUGCAGAUUCACCAAUUGCCUAACGGCGGUUCGAUACUCCCGCGGGUGCUGUCUGGCUUUUUU
rnacentral:vault_RNA from 1 species